rnacentral:tRNA from 1 species
UGGGGAGUAGCCAAGUGGUAAGGCAUCGCUCUUUGGAAGCGACUACCGUAGGUUCGAUUCCUACCUCCCCAG